UACGUAGGGCGCAAGCGUUGUCCGGAAUCACUGGGCGUAAAGGGCGCGUAGGUGGCGAUCCAAGUCCAUGGUGAAAGCUCGAUGCUCAACAUCGAGUCGGCCACGGAUACUGGGUUGCUUGAGCACUGUAGGGGCAGAUGGAAUUCCGGGUGUAGCGGUGGAAUGCGUAGAGAUCCGGAAGAACACCGGUGGCGAAGGCGGUCUGCUGGGCAGUUGCUGACACUGAGGCGCGACAGCGUGGGGAGCAAACAGGG
rnacentral:rRNA from 1 species